UACGUAGGGGGCAAGCGUUGUCCGGAUUUAUUGGGCGUAAAGAGCGUGUAGGCGGCUUACAGGUCCGUUGUGAAAACUCGAGGCUCAACCUCGAGACGCCGGUGGAAACCGUAAAGCUAGAGUCCGGAAGAGGAGAGUGGAAUUCCUGGUGUAGAGGUGAAAUUCGUAGAUAUCGGGAGGAACACCGGUGGCGAAGGCGGCGACCUGGGUAGAUACUGACGCUGAGGCGGCGAAAGCGUGGGGAGCAAACAGG
rnacentral:rRNA from 1 species